rnacentral:rRNA from 1 species
UACGAAGGGGGCUAGCGUUGCUCGGAAUCACUGGGCGUAAAGGGUGCGUAGGCGGGUCUUUAAGUCAGGGGUGAAAUCCUGGAGCUCAACUCCAGAACUGCCUUUGAUACUGAGGAUCUUGAGUACGGGAGAGGUGAGUGGAACUGCGAGUGUAGAGGUGAAAUUCGUAGAUAUUCGCAAGAACACCAGUGGCGAAGGCGGCUCACUGGCCCGUUACUGACGCUGAGGCACGAAAGCGUGGGGAGCAAACAGGG